rnacentral:rRNA from 1 species
UACGAAGGGUGCAAACGUUGCUCGGAAUCACUGGGCGUAAAGCGCACGUAGGCGGCUUUUUAAGUCAGGGGUGAAAUCCUGGAGCUCAACUCCAGAACUGCCUUUGAUACUGGGAAGCUUGAGUCCGGAAGAGGUGAGUGGAACUCCGAGUGUAGAGGUGAAAUUCGUAGAUAUUCGCAAGAACACCAGUGGCGAAGGCGGCUCACUGGCUCGGUACUGACGCUGAGGUGCGAAAGCGUGGGGAGCAAACAGG